UACGUAGGGGGGCGAGCGUUGUCCGGAAUUAUUGGGCGUAAAGCGCGUGUAGGCGGCUUGGUAAGUCCGCUGUGAAAACUCGGGGCUUAACCCCGAGCCUGCUUCCGAUACGGGCAGACUAGAGGUAGGCAGGGGAGAGCGGAACUCCUGGUGUAGCGGUGGAAUGCGCAGAUAUCAGGAGGAACACCGGUGGCGAAGGCGGGUCUCUGGGCCGAUACUGACGCUGAGGAGCGAAAGCGUGGGGAGCGAACAGG
rnacentral:rRNA from 1 species